CAGCACUCUUGAAAGCCAAAACAAAUAAAUCUAACAUUAAAAAAAAAAAGAGUAUUGAGAUACACUUGAGAAUUUGUUAGUUCUCAAAAAAAUCAAUCCUAAAAUCUUUAUUAAAAAUAUGUCUGCUUUAAUUAGUUAUGUAACUUCUUCAUUACAUCACUGCAUAUCAGAGCAACAUGAAAGGAAUGGGAGCAAGAAGCACAAGGAAUAAUAAGAGUUGCUGGUACUGCAAUACACUUUUGAAUAAUUUGGCAGGUCUCUUUGCUUGGCAAUAACAAUCACAGUAACAGAUAUUAUCAAGCCAGCUGCAGCAAUAUGGCAAGAUAUUUUAUGAAGGAUUGUUCCUACCUAAUUAUCUUGGAAAAUGGCAAAAAAAUAAGGAAGCAAAGAAAAUGGAGCUUGAAAAUUUUCAAAGGUUAGUCUCCCCUCUUCACUGUAUUUUUUGAAGUCUUGACAAUGAGA
rnacentral:lncRNA from 1 species